rnacentral:misc_RNA from 1 species
UGUAGGAGCGAGCUUGCUCGCGAUCAGCCGUGAGGCUGAAAGAUUGGCGGUGUAUGCGAUUUUUUAUCGCGAGCAAGCUCGCUCCUACA